UGGCGGGCGCGCGCUCUAAAGGCGCGGUGGUGAUCCAGCGGUUCCGGCGCCGGCCGCUGUCCGCCGUUAGCCAAACAGAAUCACCGGUGUCUUGCGCCACCACGAGCCGUCUCCCUGGCACCGCGUGCGACGGAGUCGGGCGUGGGUCCGUGGAGGGGCUUCGCUGGAGGUGCUCUUAUGGCGACCACGCGCGGCGACACUGAUGCCACGCGAGGCCAUCAACAGAGGUAGGUCUCCUAACUUGCUUAUGACCAUUUCUGAUUUGGGGAUUUGGGGAAAUUCGGGACUUUCUUUGCUUAUGACCUGUUCGAUUCGAUUUCCCCUCCUUCUAAUUGCUUAUGAACAUGUCAAAGUGCUUAAUUGCGCGGAUUUGGGGAUAACAAUGGGGAAAAUUGGGAACGAACCGAUGAACCCUAACCCUAAUUACUCAAUUAACCUGAAUUAGGACUCAAUUAGG
rnacentral:lncRNA from 1 species